rnacentral:rRNA from 1 species
UACGGAGGGGGCUAGCGUUGUUCGGAAUCACUGGGCGUAAAGGGCGCGUAGGCGGCCGAUCAAGUCGGGGGUGAAAGCCUGUGGCUCAACCACAGAAUUGCCUUCGAUACUGUUUGGCUUGAGACCGGAAGAGGUUAGUGGAACUGCGAGUGUAGAGGUGAAAUUCGUAGAUAUUCGCAAGAACACCAGUGGCGAAGGCGGCUGACUGGUCCGGUUCUGACGCUGAGGCGCGAAAGCGUGGGGAGCAAACAGG